rnacentral:rRNA from 1 species
CUUACACAUGCAGUCGAGGGGCAGCAUGGUCUUAGCUUGCUAAGGCCGAUGGCGACCGGCGCACGGGUGAGUAACACGUAUCCAACCUGCCGUCUACUCUUGGACAGCCUUCUGAAAGGAAGAUUAAUACAAGAUGGCAUCAUGAGUCCGCAUGUUCACAUGAUUAAAGGUAUUCCGGUAGACGAUGGGGAUGCGUUCCAUUAGAUAGUAGGCGGGGUAACGGCCCACCUAGUCUUCGAUGGAUAGGGGUUCUGAGAGGAAGGUCCCCCACAUUGGAACUGAGACACGAUCCAAACUCCUACGGGAGGCAGCAGUGAGGAAUAUUGGUCAAUGGGCGAGAGCCUGAACCAGCCAAGUAGCGUGAAGGAUGACUGCCCUAUGGGUUGUAAACUUCUUUUAUAAAGGAAUAAAGUCGGGUAUGGAUACCCGUUUGCAUGUACUUUAUGAAUAAGGAUCGGCUAACUCCGUGCCAGCAGCCGCGGUAAUACGGAGGAUCCGAGCGUUAUCCGGAUUUAUUGGGUUUAAAGGGAGCGUAGAUGGAUGUUUAAGUCAGUUGUGAAAGUUUGCGGCUCAACCGUAAAAUUGCAGUUGAUACUGGAUAUCUUGAGUGCAGUUGAGGCAGGCGGAAUUCGUGGUGUAGCGGUGAAAUGCUUAGAUAUCACGAAGAACUCCGAUUGCGAAGGCAGCCUGCUAAGCUGCAACUGACAUUGAGGCUCGAAAGUGUGGGUAUCAAACAGGAUUAGAUACCCUGGUAGUCCACACGGUAAACGAUGAAUACUCGCUGUUUGCGAUAUACUGCAAGCGGCCAAGCGAAAGCGUUAAGUAUUCCACCUGGGGAGUACGCCGGCAACGGUGAAACUCAAAGGAAUUGACGGGGGCCCGCACAAGCGGAGGAACAUGUGGUUUAAUUCGAUGAUACGC